GCCAUGAUGAAAAUGCUAGAUUUGAUCGAGAUGACAUGAAAGUAACUUGUCUCCUCUAAGAAGUCCUGAGCUU